ACAACAUCUACUUGGAGACUGUGGUGAACCAUUAAGUAAUAAUGUUAAGGAGAGGGAAAUCACACUUCAACGACUGGCUUUGACGGGUCCAGGGCAAAGUGAAGUUCUCUCCCUCCAGCUCCUUGUAAAUGGUGGAGGAGAUGCGGGCCACUUGUUCUGCACUAAAAUGUUUUUUCCAGUCCCCGGCAACACCUUAUACACAGAAAACAACAACUAUUGAAUUUGUCAAUAAACUCGUCCAAAGUUCCAGGGUCCUCAAGGAAAGUCGCCAUCUGAUGGAAGUAAUAUGACGACACAAUGAUAUCCUUGGGGUUCCUCAUGACGUAGAUCACCUGAAGGAGGGAUAAGUAAGUGCAAAGCAGGACCACGUGACAAAAACCGAUGGCGUUGGGAUUUGAAUUCACCUUGGCACUGGAAGUUUUGAAGGAAGGUGGCAUGAACUGCCAGGGAACUCUGUCCCAGUUGGGGACGGUUAGGAUGGGUGUCAGGUCCCCCUCAUUCAGCACCAGCGGGAGGAUCUCUUGCAUCCAGAUUGUACCUGCAGAGGAAAGCAAAUUAUAAAGUUAGAUGGCAUAAUAACGGCACCGACAAGAAUUAUGUUUAUUUCUGCACAACCCACAUUCACUACCGUAUU